rnacentral:rRNA from 1 species
CCUACGGGUGGCAGCAGUAGGGAAUAUUGCUCAAUGGGGGAAACUCUGAAGCAGCAACGCCGCGUGGAGGAUGAAGGUUUUCUGAUUGUAAACUCCUUUUGUUAGAGAAGAUAAUGAUGGUAUCUAACGGAUAAUCCCUGGCCAACUUCGUUCCAGCAGCCGCGGUAAUACGGCGGGUGCAAGCGUUACUCGGAAUCACUGGGCGUAAAGCGCGCGUAGGCGGGUUAGCAAGUCAGUUGUGAAAUCCUAUGGCUUAACCAUAGAACUGCAUUUGAAACUGUUAUUCUAGAGUAUGGAAGAGGUAGGUGGAAUUCGUGGUGUAGGGGUAAAAUCCGUAGAGAUAAAGAGGAAUACUCAUUGCGAAGGCGACCUGCUAGAACGUAACUGACGCUGAUGCGCGAAAGCGUGGGUAGCAAACAGGAUUAGAUACCCGAGUAGUC